ACAACGAAGAGUUUGAUCCUGGCUCAGGAUGAACGCUAGCGACAGGCUUAACACAUGCAAGUCGAGGGGCAGCACAGGUAGCAAUACCGGGUGGCGACCGGCGCACGGGUGAGUAACGCGUAUGCAACUUGCCUAUCAGAGGGGGAUAACCCGGCGAAAGUCGGACUAAUACCGCAUGAAGCAGGGAUCCCGCAUGGGAAUAUUUGCUAAAGAUUCAUCGCUGAUAGAUAGGCAUGCGUUCCAUUAGGCAGUUGGCGGGGUAACGGCCCACCAAACCGACGAUGGAUAGGGGUUCUGAGAGGAAGGUCCCCCACAUUGGUACUGAGACACGGACCAAACUCCUACGGGAGGCAGCAGUGAGGAAUAUUGGUCAAUGGGCGUAAGCCUGAACCAGCCAAGUCGCGUGAGGGAUGAAGGUUCUAUGGAUCGUAAACCUCUUUUAUAAGGGAAUAAAGUGCGGGACGUGUCCCGUUUUGUAUGUACCUUAUGAAUAAGGAUCGGCUAACUCCGUGCCAGCAGCCGCGGUAAUACGGAGGAUCCGAGCGUUAUCCGGAUUUAUUGGGUUUAAAGGGUGCGUAGGCGGCCUUUUAAGUCAGCGGUGAAAGUCUGUGGCUCAACCAUAGAAUUGCCGUUGAAACUGGGAGGCUUGAGUAUGUUUGAGGCAGGCGGAAUGCGUGGUGUAGCGGUGAAAUGCUUAGAUAUCACGCAGAACCCCGAUUGCGAAGGCAGCCUGCCAAGCCAUUACUGACGCUGAUGCACGAAAGCGUGGGGAUCAAACAGGAUUAGAUACCCUGGUAGUCCACGCAGUAAACGAUGAUCACUAGCUGUUUGCGAUACACUGUAAGCGGCACAGCGAAAGCGUUAAGUGAUCCACCUGGGGAGUACGCCGGCAACGGUGAAACUCAAAGGAAUUGACGGGGGCCCGCACAAGCGGAGGAACAUGUGGUUUAAUUCGAUGAUACGCGAGGAACCUUACCCGGGUUUGAACGCAUUUUGACAGCUCUGGAAACAGAGCCUCUAGCAAUAGCGAUUUGCGAGGUGCUGCAUGGUUGUCGUCAGCUCGUGCCGUGAGGUGUCGGCUUAAGUGCCAUAACGAGCGCAACCCUUGCCACUAGUUACUAACAGGUAAAGCUGAGGACUCUGGUGGGACUGCCAGCGUAAGCUGCGAGGAAGGCGGGGAUGACGUCAAAUCAGCACGGCCCUUACAUCCGGGGCGACACACGUGUUACAAUGGCGUGGACAAAGGGAGGCCACCUGGCGACAGGGAGCGAAUCCCCAAACCACGUCUCAGUUCGGAUCGGAGUCUGCAACCCGACUCCGUGAAGCUGGAUUCGCUAGUAAUCGCGCAUCAGCCAUGGCGCGGUGAAUACGUUCCCGGGCCUUGUACACACCGCCCGUCAAGCCAUGGGAGCCGGGGGUACCUGAAGUCCGUAACCGAAAGGAUCGGCCUAGGGUAAAACUGGUGACUGGGGCUAAGUCGUAACAAGGUAGCCGUACCGGAAGGUGCGGCUGGAACACCUCCUUU
rnacentral:rRNA from 1 species